UACGGGGGGGGCAAGCGUUGUUCGGAAUUACUGGGCGUAAAGGGCUCGUAGGUGGCCAACUAAGUCAGACGUGAAAUCCCUCGGCUUAACCGGGGAACUGCGUCUGAUACUGGAUGGCUUGAGAUUGGGAGAGGGAUGCGGAAUUCCAGGUGUAGCGGUGAAAUGCGUAGAUAUCUGGAGGAACACCGGUGGCGAAGGCGGUUCUCUGGGCAUUACCUGACGCUGAGGAGCGAAAGUGUGGGGAGCGAACAGG
rnacentral:rRNA from 1 species